AUUGAACGCUGGCGGCAGGCCUAACACAUGCAAGUCGAGCGGAUGAAGGGAGCUUGCUCCUGGAUUCACCGGCGGACGGGUGAGUAAUGCCUAGGAAUCUGCCUGGUAGUGGGGGAUAACGUCCGGAGACGGGCGCUAAUACCGCAUACGUCCUGAGGGAGAAAGUGGGGGAUCUUCGGACCUCACGCUAUCAGAUGAGCCUAGGUCGGAUUAGCUAGUUGGUGGGGUAAAGGCCUACCAAGGCGACGAUCCGUAACUGGUCUGAGAGGAUGAUCAGUCACACUGGAACUGAGACACGGUCCAGACUCCUACGGGAGGCAGCAGUGGGGAAUAUUGGACAAUGGGCGAAAGCCUGAUCCAGCCAUGCCGCGUGUGUGAAGAAGGUCUUCGGAUUGUAAAGCACUUUAAGUUGGGAGGAAGGGCAGUAAGUUAAUACCUUGCUGUUUUGACGUUACCAACAGAAUAAGCACCGGCUAACUUCGUG
rnacentral:rRNA from 1 species